rnacentral:rRNA from 1 species
CCUUGUACACACCGCCCGUCACACCAUGGGAGUUGGUUGCACCAGAAGUAGUUAGCCUAACCGCAGGGGGGGCGAUUACCACGGUGUGGUCAAUGACUGGGGUG